rnacentral:rRNA from 1 species
UGGGGAAUUUUGGACAAUGGGGGCAACCCUGAUCCAGCCAUGCCGCGUGAGUGAAGAAGGCCUUCGGGUUGUAAAGCUCUUUCGGACGGAACGAAAUGGUCAGGGUGAAUAUCCCUGACUGAUGACGGUACUGUAAGAAGAAGCACCGGCUAACUACGUGCCAGCAGCCGCGGUAAUACAGAGGUGGCAAGCGUUGUUCGGAAUUACUGGGCGUAAAGAGUGUGUAGGUGGUGUCGUAAGUUUGGUGUGAAAUCUCCCGGCUUAACUGGGAGGGUGCGCCGAAGACUGCGAUGCUGGAGUAUGGGAGAGGAAAGCGGAAUUCCUGGUGUAGCGGUGAAAUGCGUAGAUAUCAGGAGGAACACCUGCGGUGUAGACGGCUUUCUGGACCAUUACUGACACUGAGACACGAAAGCGUGGGUAGCAAACAGGAUUAGAUACCCUUGUAGUCCCUGAGCGGGCUGGCAAGGCGCAU